CCGAACACGCUACUCACUUACUUCCCCAAAAAGAGUCCGUGUGCGGAUUCAAGAGAUGCAGCAACAACGCCGCAAUGCCAAAUUCCAGUCGUAGAGGAACCGGUGACUGAUCAGAUAUCGUCGUCAGAUGAGUCCAUCGGUCAGCAAGUCCUCACCGACGAUGCUUCAUUCGACGAACCUGCGCACCCAAAUGACCUGGGGAUCUACGCCGGCAAGUCGGUUACCGAUGUCAAGAAAAAGGAGCUACUGACGAGCGCAUGGACACCUGCCGCAACCUUUCCAUUCAGGCCAACGGGAACAAGGAAUUUGAAAUUUCAGUACCGGUGGCUGCAGCGAUGGAACUGGCUCGUCUAUUCAAAAAAGGAGAACGGCGCCUUUUGUGGCCAACAUCAGCAGCAAGACAAGAGAACGAGCACACAACUGCACCAAACACGCCUGUGAUGACGCAGCUGCCUUGACAGACGCAAAUCCUUCUGUCGCAAUGUUGGCAAACACGACUGAGGCACUUACCUGAUUCGACUUUAAUUCUGCCAACGAUGCUAUGAUAGUACGCGUCAACGGCCAACUGAUUUUCCUACCCUACCCAAACGAAUUUCGGAAGUAUUUUUCAUGAUGUCAGGUUAAUCUUUCACAUUUCAAACAUACGAGACGACCUUGACAGAAUUAAAUUUAUAGACCUCUUGUAGACCCGAAUAAAAAGUUUCUCGGUGUCUGAAUCUGUGUGGCGUCAUUUCUCUACUUUUUUAA
rnacentral:lncRNA from 1 species